GGGUGCGAUCACACUUGCACUAAUGCAUCGGAUCCCAUCAGAACUUCGCAGUUAAACGUGCUUGGGCGAGAGUUGUACUAAGAUGGGUGACCCCCUGGGAAGUCCUCGUGUUGCAUCCU